rnacentral:snoRNA from 1 species
AUGCAUCUAUUUGACAUAUCCAGAGCAGUUAUUGUGUGCUGCUAAGGUUUCCACUAAAGAUGCAAGAAUGGCCUCAUGCUUUCUGUCUGAUCUAGUUGUGGUAGCUAAGAUUGAAUGAGGAAAUAAAGAA